GUCCCCGUAGUUUAAUGGAUAAAACAGAAGCCUUCUAAGCUUCGGAUCCAAGUUCGAUUCUUGGCGGGGGCA
rnacentral:tRNA from 2 species